rnacentral:rRNA from 1 species
GGAAUGCCGAAGAGAUUUGGCAGUGCUCGCAAGAGAACCGGAACACAGGUGCUGCAUGGCUGUCGUCAGCUCGUGUCGUGAGAUGUUGGGUUAAGUCCCGCAACGAGCGCAACCCUUGUCAUUAGUUGCUACGCAAGAGCACUCUAAUGAGACUGCCGGUGACAAACCGGAGGAAGGUGGGGAUGACGUCAAGUCCUCAUGGCCCUUAUGGGUAGGGCUUCACACGUCAUACAAUGGUCGGGACAGAGGGUCGCCAACCCGCGAGGGGGAGCCAAUCUCAGAAACCCGAUCGUAGUCCGGAUCGCAGUCUGCAACUCGACUGCGUGAAGUCGGAAUCGCUAGUAAUCGCGGAUCAGAAUGUCGCGGUGAAUACGUUCCCGGGUCUUGUACACACCGCCCGUCACACCAUGGGAGUGGGUUUCACCAGAAGUAGGUAGCCUAACCGUAAGGAGGGCGCUUACCACGGUGGGAUUCAUGAC